rnacentral:lncRNA from 1 species
UCGAGGCGGUCAUGGUGCAGCCGGCGGACGAGUUGCGUAGGCUGCUGCCGAGUGAUUGCGCCGGCUCCUGUUGCACCUGACAUCGCCACCGCACUCUAUUACCUGCAUCAAUACUCAAAUCCAAUCCCCAAAAAUUAAAUCAGAAUUCACCGAGCCACAAAUCGAGUUGCUCACCGUCAAAACCAAACUCACGCACAUCGAAUCAAAGCCUUCAGCCAUUCAAUUCAAGAUUGUCACUAAAAGAAUCAAAGGGCCGCGAGAUGAGGCGUGAUGGUGUGGGCGGCGUGGUUUUUGACGGCGAUGCCGUUCCUGACCGCGGGCGACCCGGGGAGGCCCUCUUCACCUUGCCGCGCUGCACCUCGCUUGCUCCUGCGGUGGCAAGGCUAGUCCUUC